CGUGCCUAAUACAUGCAAGUCGAGCGGAAUGGUGAAGAAGCUUGCUUCUUCUGAUUUUAGCGGCGGACGGGUGAGUAACACGUGGGCAACCUACCUUGUAGAUUGGGAUAACUCCGGGAAACCGGGGCUAAUACCGAAUAAUCCAUUUUGCUUCAUGGCGAGAUGUUGAAAGACGGUUUCGGCUGUCACUAUAAGGUGGGCCCGCGGCGCAUUAGCUAGUUGGUAGGGUAAUGGCCUACCAAGGCGACGAUGCGUAGCCGACCUGAGAGGGUGAUCGGCCACACUGGGACUGAGACACGGCCCAGACUCCUACGGGAGGCAGCAGUAGGGAAUCUUCCACAAUGGACGAAAGUCUGAUGGAGCAACGCCGCGUGAGUGAAGAAGGUUUUCGGAUCGUAAAACUCUGUUGUAAGGGAAGAACACGUACGAGAGUAACUGCUCGUACCUUGACGGUACCUUAUUAGAAAGCCACGGCUAACUACGUG
rnacentral:rRNA from 1 species